rnacentral:rRNA from 1 species
CCCUUAGAUGUUCUGGGCUGCACGCGUACUACACUGAUAUUGCCAAUAUGUCAUUCUUAUCCGAAAUGGAUUGGGUAAUCAAGUAAUGAAAUAUCAUGCUUGGAAUCGGUAAUUGCAAUUUUAUCGUGAACGAGGAAUUCCUAGUAAGCACUAGUCAUCAGCUAAUGUUGAUUAUGUCCCUGCCCUUUGUACACACCGCCCGUCGCUACUACUGAUUGGGUGUUCAAGUGAGAUGCUUAGACCCUUGUUGCAUGGUUCAUUAUUGUGCUCCGAAAGGAAAAAGUUUCAAGCUUGAGUGUCUAGAGGAAGUAAAAGUCGUAACA